rnacentral:rRNA from 1 species
UUGACCUACGGGAGGCAGCAGUGGGGGAUAUUGCACAAUGGGGGGAACCCUGAUGCAGCGACGCCGCGUGGGUGAAGAAGCGCCUCGGCGCGUAAAGCCCUGUCAGCAGGGAAGAAAAUGACGGUACCUGAAGAAGAAGCCCCGGCUAACUACGUGCCAGCAGCCGCGGUAAUACGUAGGGGGCAAGCGUUAUCCGGAUUUAUUGGGUUUAAAGGGUGCGUAGGCGGUCCGGAAAGUCAGCGGUAAAAGCCCGGGGCUCAACCCCGGCGAGCCGUUGAAACUGUCGGACUAGAGACGGCGCGAAG